UUUUAUCAGGUUGGAUGUAGGCGACGGAAAAGAUGUCACCUUAGAAGAGCAUUGUUCCAGACGGAAGCUGCACAAGCAAUGCAUCAAGUACCUUGGUCCUGUAAGUUCCACAAUUUUCUCUUCUGAUCCCAAGAUCUGAACCAACCAUUUGGAAGCUUCCUUCUAACAGGACACAUGCUGCUGGAAUUCUGCAGAAAGAGAGGGAGCCCUACGAAGUGAUUGUCGUUGACGCGAGGCUGAUGUACAAGGUAAGCCAUCAGAUCGUCGACACCACCAGAGGCCCCAAGGGAACAAAAUGGAUCUUUGUGCUGAGCACAUGCAAGGCCCUGUAUAUCGGUCAGGUCAAUGACUACUUGACUCACUUCUAUCGACGAAUUUAUUCAACCUUGGGAAUAUUCCAGUAACUAAUGAGAAACUGAAGUUUCCAACAUCAUUGCAGAAGAAGAAGGGCACAUUCCAGCACUCCAGCUUCCUUGCAGGGGGAGCCACAUCUGCUGCAGGGAGAUUAGUGGUAGAGAAUGGAACUAUGAAGGUAUCAAGGGGACUGUAUCUUUUCUUAAGUAUAUUAACACAGAAAUUGUUAUUCCCUGACUUGGGGGAUUGCUCAUUUCAGGCUGUCUGGCCUCAUAGCGGACAUUACCGGCCAACUCAGCAAAAUUUUCAGGAGUUCGUCAACUUUCUCAAGGAGAGAAGUGUGGAUCUUACAGACGUCAAGGUGAGGAGCAAAAUGUGAACAAUAAGUAACAUCUGAUCUGCCCAUGAUUGAUCAGAAAAGAUGCUGACAGAGUUCACUCCAACUGAUAUUUGUUGCCAGUUGAGCCCAUCAGAAGGCGAAGGCGAAGGCGAAGGCGAUGCUGAGUUCAGCUUCAAGAGUAGCAACUCCCAGGUGGACUUGACCGAACUCAGCCAACCAGAAAAUAAAGUAGACGAGGCACAAGUGGCACCAUGCAAUGGCACCGGCGAAACCGAGAUAAGCAAUGGCAGCAUGCCCACCACUGCGAUAUCCAAUGAACUCAGAGCAAGCACACCAAGGAUCGUGGAGUCCUCCACAACCAAUAGGCUGCAAGGGAAGCGGCCAUCCAGGCUGCUCAUAAAUUCUUCUAACAGAAUUCUACCCACUACACAGGAUAAUAGAAGGACAUCACCGGACGCCAAGGACAUCAAUGAGGAUUCUGCCAUGUUCAGCGAGUGCCUAGACUUCUGCAAGAAGAACCUAUUUGCAGAGGUCGAGGAGGAGGAGGAGGCGGGUGAGCUAGUGGAGGUGCCGGAGGAGCUGAUCCUGCGCCGCAUAACCUCCAAGAAGGGCAUGAGAUCAUGCCAACUGGGGAAGCAACUGUCCUUCCAAUGGAGCACCGGGGCAGGGCCUCGGAUCGGGUGUGUCCGUGACUACCCACCGGAGCUCCAGUUUCGGGCAUUGGAGGAGGUCAGCCUGUCACCGCGAAGCAGUAGGCCAAUGAGGUUUUCAUCGCCAAGGCCAAGCAUGCUGACACAAAAUACUGCAAAGGUCGGUGGUACUCCUAUUUUCCAAGGUGGCGGCAUCCACAUGAUACCCAAGUCUAGGCAGAGGAGUGUCACUUGGACUGCUUUUUGAUGGUCAUGCGACUGAAAUAAACUGUACAUAGUGAGAGGCAAAGGUGAGAGAAAAUGAUUACUAGGUUACAUUUCUUCGGUAGGUUCGGUAGAGAAAAUACAUCAAAAGGAUGUAUCUAGUACCAAAGUUGCAAGUCUUGUCAGUUGACAAACUAACAGGAUGAUUCAGAAACUGUGUUUUUGGAUUGAAACAUAUGCUCAGAAGCUGUAGAACACAACAAUCUCAAAAAUCAAAACAUCACCUCCAAAGAGGACAAGGAUUCACUAUGAGAUUAAUCAGUCAAUUCAUUUUACCCUGAUGUGAAGGAACAUGAUCAAUAUCACAACAGGUGCACUUAAUUUCGGCAACAGACCAAAACUAAACCAGGAAAGUACCUCAUUAAAUAUCCAACCCCAAGCCGAGGCCUAAGACAUAACCAGUGUCCAAGAACUUGAUUGGAAAGCAGUACACUAAAGAAGGCAACAACCCAACAUUUUACUUAUCCGAGGUUGUUAAGUACAUUACAGAUGAAUUGGGAGGGUACAUUCUGGGCACAAUCUAACAAUACCUGAAAUGACAUCUUAAUAUCUUAUCAGUCGUUGAGAAGCAAUUUCAGAAUUCAACUGUUUUCUUUACAGAAAUUGUUGCAACCACUGAUGUUUUUCUCUAGUGAAAUUCGCAAGAUCUCUCGAGUUGGUUGGUCUACCAGCCGAUAAUGUUAUAGUAUAAUUUUUUUGAUAAUCUUAUAAUACAAUAACAAAUCUCUUCAGUCUACCAUUCUAGUAUUUUGCGCCAACUAGCAUGCUGUAUAAGCAAGGAUUCGACUCCUAAGCAGGGGUCACGAGCUCCGUCAAGGACAACUGGCAGCUUCACACAUCAGAAAUCCUGGUGUCUCAGGUACCUGAUUGUAGCUCACGAUUGAUUCCCCGUCUCAAUGUCUCGAUUCACAUUAUCUGAUCGCUGUGCAGGAGAUGAGUCGCCCUGUAUACAGCAAGCGGGUGAACCAGCCUACAGAGUAAUUCAACAAGGGCAUAGGUGCAUAGUGUCAGAAUACUACAGCUCAUCAUACCAUCCCAAAGUCUUCAGAUUCACCAAGGCAGUUAGGUGUUUCAGCAUUUGCAGUUCCUGGCUCUGGAGAUGGCAAGGCAGAAUGCUGCAAGCAUGGGUGGGAAUUCACUUUGUCAACAUGGGCAUAGAGCUCCAGAAAGAUUGUAGCACGCUUGAGAAUUACCAGAAUCAGAUGGGACUUGCCUUAAGGAGCACUGGGCUUUGUACUUCUUUUCUGACUGUGCCAAUUUCCAACUUAUAUUCUACAUUUACAGUGGUUGUAGAAGUGAUAAAAAAGAGCAUCAUGAUUGUACACAAUUCAUAUUUCAUAAAUGAAGCAUGUCAUGCACAUCUGAAACAUCAACGGGCGGUGGUACAUAUAUGACUUGAUUAAUUUACAUGAUGCUAUUCUCAGGAUAAUAUACCAAACAACUGAUUAUAUCAUUGGAAACAACGUAGCCAAUUGCUUUGAUGGACUAUACGCAGAAUGUUCCACUUGGCAUAAAGGAAGUUGAGAAAUGUGAGCGGAAGUGCAGCAUUACCAGAUGGACAAUAUUGUUCAAUUCACAGCCAUGUGUUGACUUACAUUCUAAGCCAUCUUUAAUACCAUAUGUAGUUACAUAAAAAAAUAUCUUAGAAAGUUUCUGUGAAAAAAUUUCCAUGGCGCUCUUUAAGAGUUGAUGAAUUACCUGCUUCAUCAAUUACAGGUACCAUCUUAUGCCCAUUACGUGGAUCACCUUCACUACCUGGAAUACUAUUUGUUUCGCAAUCCAAUAUUAACAGCAUGAUAAGGUUAUGCUGUUAUUGCAAAUUCCAAAUUUUGAAUGAAGCUCUCACCUUUCUAACUCUUUGCUCACAUUAUCUUGUAUUUCCUGACUCUCAGAGACCGGUGAAAACCUUUUUGCUCCCUAGUAUAUAAUUAGGAGAAGUGGCUAAGAACUGCAAUGCUGGUAACAAGAAAUGCAUAAACGAGUAAAUAACAUUUGUGUCUUGCCUGAUGUCCAAUAUUGCUGAUUAUGUCUUGAAAAUUCCGUAAAGCAAUUUCCAUGUUGUGAAGCUCCAUAAGCAUUGCCUGGAUGAAGAAGAACAGACAAGAUCAAUCUGACUUUCUGUAGUUUCAGAGACAAUAGGACAUGUAUGACAUCAUAAUAGAAUGACCUGCUUAUCUUUAGUCAGCCUCUCAAUGAUCUCAUCCUUCACCAGCAGGGCUUUCGUAAGGUAACAACGUUAAUGAAAAACAACAAAGCAUGGCAUUGGUAUGAAUAGAAAGUAAGAAUGAAUACGUGCAAUGCUUUUCACAUCGUAAUGGAUAUUUCUUCUAGUUGUGGGUGAAAAUUGUUGUUAAGCUUCUCAGCAUCAAGUUGUCCCUUCAAUUCAUAUAUGAUUCUCGCUCGAUUUCGAAGUUCAAGUUGGUAACUAGUUAUUUUGUCUCCCAAGAAACUAAGUUUCUCUACAUAAAUGAAUAACCAGAAUCAGAAAAACGAAUAAAAAUAGAUUGUCCACAUACAUGGUAACCAUAAUUGCUGUAACAUUACAAUUUGAGACUAAUGAAGCCAUAUUACAAGAAGCAAACAUACCAACAAAAUCUUUCUCGAGUACAGAAAUCCUUUGGACCUUACCCUUCAAAUCAGAGACUGAAAUAAUAAUGUGCGGAGAAUUAGUGCAAAAAUAAUAAAAUAUAUUGGUUGAUGUUAUAGCCAUAAAGUUCUAUUUGUGUCCAUACCUAUAUUUUCCUUCUCACAAACUAGACAUUCCACAUCACCUAGUGCUUGUUUCACUGCAGCAACUUCCUUUCCUACUGAACUGAACAAUGCCAGAUGAGAAUUUAGCUUUUCUGAAAUUACAGCAAUCUGUUUAUCCUUCAACUGGAUUGUCCAUUGCAGAGAACAAGCAGAGUCCUGCCUAUCAAACACGGUAUAGCCAAACAUCAGUUUUGCUAACAUACACAGUUUAGAACUCAAGGCUAUGUAGCAUAUACUAUUCAUACAAACAAAAAUAAUGUGGCAUCGGCAAAACGAAAUGGUAUUAAAUCUUUAGAAGUUCCUGCAUGCUACAAACCAAUGAAUGCUUCAUGUCAAGAUUAUAAAUACCCAAAGGCAGAGAAGGAGAUGACAGACAGUACACAAUGUACACAAGACAAGAUCGCAGCUGGUAACGAAAAUCAAAGAAAGUGGUACACUAUGAUCUCACACUCCUAGAGUUGUCCAUUUUUAUAUCAUGAUGAUGUAAAAAAAAUUAACAGAUAGAUGAAGGGAGCCUUGCAGGAAUAUGCGACUACCACAGAGACGUGAAAACGGGACAGACAUAAAAGCAGAAACAUGCCUCAUAAUGUUUCAUGAAAGUCUCCCUUGAUUGAAGCAGCCUCUCCAUGCUUUCUUUCAAAUCCUUUUCGUUUCUCCCAAGCAGCUCGUUUUCAUUUUCAAGGCACUUUACCUGUACAGUAAGAAAACAACUGUGAUGACUCUCCCCGUGCAAAUAAAUGAUCCCACACAAGGGGAAGAUUCGAGAAUUGGCUAGCCGCUAUUGCAUCAUGGAAAAUUCGAAACAGUAUUGCUUGUGUCAGAUCAGCUUUACACCAGGAUAUAAACCAAUGUCAUGAUUCAACAAAUCUAAACUUUAUAGACAUAUGUAAUCUAAAUUCUAAAAUGCCGCAAACCAGGGGUCUACGUGAAUUGAAACACAGCAUGCAGACGCCAGGAGGGUAAAACUGAACAAUUCCAAUACAUGCCACGAGAACAGCUACUAGCUAAAGGCCGAACCGGGGAGAAUGGAGGCAAGAACUAAGGAGCACGAACCCUGGACUCGAGCCUCCGCAGUGCUUCAUCCCUGGCUGACACCUCCGUUCGCAACUCCCGCGUCUCCCGCUGUUGUUCCUCCUCUGCCUCCUUCCAUCUCUGCACCAUCCAUCCGAUUCCACCCAAAACCCCGUUAGAAAAACAUGAAUCAUUAAAUUACAAAAACCAUGAGAACGACAGCACCAAUCGAAGCCUACGCGAGCCGCAGAGACCUGGCUUGCUGCGUGGAUUUCCUCGCGGGCGGCCCGCUCCCGCUCCUACGAAGUUUGGGGAGGGAGAGAGGGAAAGGAAGGGAGGGUUAGGACCUGAGAGAUUCUAGACGGUUCUAGAGAGUGGUGGGGUGACUCACGCGGGUGAGGCGGAGAUCCGAGACGAGGGCGAGAAGUUGGAGCUGCAGUUCCGACAUCGCCGCCGCCGCCGCCUGCCCCUCCAUUGCGCCGGGGCGAAAGACCGUUUCCUUCCGUUCAGCUACUCUGCUGAUCCAACGCCACUUGCAUUGAUCUGCAAACAAGACCGUUUUUCAAAGGAGUAUUUUUCUUAAGCAACUAAUUAGUUUAUGUCCUAAUAUUUUAAAAUGCGCAUCGAAGAAUCAAUUCUAUUUUUCUCAAAAAAAGAGUAUAAUUCUAUAUAUAUUUCCUCCGUCCAACAAAGGAUGUCUUAAUUUUUACUAAAUUUGAAUGCAUCUAUACACUAAGUCAUGUUUAAAUACAUCCAAAUUUUAACAAACUUGAGACAUCUUUUAUUGGACGGAGGAAGUAUUCGAUUUUGGCAGGAUUUUCCGGUUGUCACAUUUUACAAAAAGAACCUUGUCAAAAGGUUUUUUCUUGACUCUUGCUCUCGCUGCUCCUUUGUUUCUUCUCUGGUUCUUCUCAACCAUAACUAGCGCUCUGAAUAGAUCCGUAGGCUCGUCAGCAAUGAAGUGAGGGGAGAAGACAAAUCAGCUGCGAUAGCGCUAAUGCGUCAUUAGUAGCGUCUCCUCCGGUGGUGCAUAUCCCACUGGGUUAUUGCCUCUAGUAGGGUUCCUAGGCUUAACAACGGCAUUGACACCAACAUUUUGCCGUACUAGGGCCACCUAGCUAGACGGAGCCCCACAUAUUGAUUAAUCUUUGUCCGUUGUCUGUCGCCUAGCUGUCUCGCCGGACUGCUCACCCCUUCGUUCGCGUCUCGCAGCCACCUCGGCGUUGCAGGGACAAUGAAGAAGGAGACUAGGAUGUCGAAUGGGAAAGCAGGGAGGUUUGUGCAAAAUUUCCAUUCAACAAAUUAUUUAAUGUGUGCGAGCGUACCGACAUGGCAAAAGUCAACAUGCCACAUCAGUUGGUCAGACGAGGUCAAACGAAUCUAGGAUAGUUAACCAGUAAACAAAUAAAUUGGGACUUGGAUGUGCAUUCUGAAAGGCUUAGGACAGAGUUGGCUCUUUUCUUAAAAAACUAGGAUCCCAACACAUUUACACUUUUUAAAAAGUGGAGAUGAAAAUGAUUCAAACCAAAUCCUCUUUUUUUAGCUCCGGCGUAAACUUGUGAAUGAAAGUGAAUCACUUUUGUAUCAUUGAUCGAGACAUGAUCUAUUUAUACAGGGUUUAGGGAUGUCUAAGAGGUGCCUUUGUAGAAAGAAGACGUACGAUGCUCGUAAGGCCUGUACAUAAUGGUAAUCCUAACCGCUAACUUUAACAAUCUCUUUUUUCUCUUGAGAAUUCCUUGUAUAAUUUUGACAAACUUGUUACAGUAACCUUGAGGAUCUCCUAGAAAACACUGUAGGAAAAAUAUAAGGAGAAAUAUAGAAAUUUUAAUGUAUCACUGAAAACUCCUGGAGAAAAUGAUAAAACAUAUUUAUGACAUCUAAUCCCUUCCACUAAAAGAUUACAGUAAAAGAAGGCGCGUUACUUUUUUUCUCCUUGAUGUUCUUGAUUUACCAUUAGUCAAGUUUACAGAAAAAUCUACAGACAUAUACAACUCCACAUUAGUUUUAUUAAAUCCGUCGUGAUAUAUAUCUUUAUUGUAUAUUUCGACUUACCCAUGCAAAAUCUAUAAAGGCAUGUUUAGAAGUUUUUUUUUUAAAGGAAUAUCAUAUGUUGGAGGUGUGAUGCAAAUGUGCAAAACAGAUUGGUAUCAAUUUUAUAUGAUCACUCACAGCACUACUGUAGUCAAAUUUCACCUUGUAUGGCAUGUAUCUUUCAUAGCACCAUACUACUGUAGUACUCCCUUUGACUCAUAAUUCUUGUCGUGUAUUAUCAUGUUUUUCAUGUAGUAACGAGGUACCAUACUACUAUAAUACUCCCUCCGUCUCAUAAUUCUUGUCGUGUAUUAUCAUGUACCAUACUACUUGAACUAAAAUAGCGACAAGAAUUAUUGGACCGAGGGAGGGAGCACAAUAUAGCGUGUAUUAUCAUGUUUUUCCCGAGUUAUGGCCUGGGCAAAUGUGCCAUGGAUUGAUGGAUUUAGGUUGGAUUUUUGCUCUUUGAGAACUAGUCACUAACAUACUACUGGCAGAAUUGUCAAUAAUUUUUUCCCACACCGUCUAGAUUCUAUAACUAUAUCGGCUACGAUGAAGGCUGCAUUUUGUGAUUUUUGCUUGAGAAUCAGAUUUCUGUAACUUAUUAUGCCUUGGUAAUACUGAACCUAAAAUUGUUUCUCGUGCAGGGAGAAAAAGAGUACACACCAGCUCCUAUGCUAUAACGAAUGGUUCUAAAAAGAUUGACAGCUUUAGAUGUGUCGCACUUCAUAUUUUCAUUCGGCUUUAGCUUUUUUUUAUUAGUGCUUGCAACGCUUCAAACAUUCAGUUAUGAUUUACACAACUAACGUCAAAAUGUUCUUUCUUUGGCAAGUGCACUUUGAAAAGGCUUAAUGCAAAGUAAUGUCACUUGCUUAUAUCCAAUCAAGAAUUAUGAGAAUCUCACUAUAUAACAAUAUUUGUCUUCAUUCAAAUUUAACCUUUGUUUAUAUUGUCUUGUGCCAAUUUUUAUCAUUCUAUUGUUAAAAUAGACGGGUGCGACAACGCACGCCAUCAUGAUCUAGUAAUCAGCGCAAAAGAGCAGGCUUACUCUCCGAUCCAUGGCAAGCAUUAAGUACUUUUAACAGAAAAAGGUAACGGAGAGUCAACGUCAGUGGUAUAAAAUCAGAGCAAUAAUGGUUGUUCAUGUAGUAAUGGCGGGACAUAGCCAUUGUAGAAGCAAAUACGGAGUACUCCAUACAUGAGGGUUUUUACGGUACCCCUAUGCUGCCAGGGAGGAGGCAGUACAGAGUCUAUCUAGCCGUCGAUUUUUUUUUUAGCAUUUUAGAUUUUCACCCGUUUCGUUUCCUUGUUUUCUAAUUAAGUCCAUAAUACUUCUAAAUAGCUGUAUAGCACCAAACGUAGGAGGCAGGACGUCGUUCCUCGCCGGCCGGGAGAUGAGGCGGCUUGGUGGCGGCUAGGGCACGGCGCGGGACGAGAGAGAUUUGUUUUUCAGGUUUUGGCCUCCGAUCCCACCCAACUGUUCAAUUGAACUAUCUCCUGCAAUCCCGUUGUAGCGUUGCUGGUGCACUCGUCCGCACCGGACGCCAUCGAUCAGUGUAUUGGUCAACUCUACGAAGAGGAAUGACACAAAACCAUCCAGUGCUCAAAUCUUCCAAUGAUCAUGGAGUCGAAGCAUGAAGGAUUGGGCACGACUGCAAGAAACAUGCCGAUCGACUGAAUAUGAGAGGAGUUCGAGCUUGUCCAACGCCGUGCUAUGCUGCUUCAUGCGAGUAUUGGGAUUCAUGGCCCUCGUCUUGUCGCAGUUACAGAGCCGCCGGCGAACCGCCAUCUGCUUCCGUGCCCAUCUUGACGGAGUGGCCGAACGGCCCGAGAUGAACCUACACGGCUGCGCGGUGCUUGCCGGCCACGGAGCGGACGAGAGGUGGUAAAGACAUCUGCGAUACAAAUUUACUAUCUAGACCGUGGUCAAAGUGGGAAUUAUUUUUCUGCCUCGCCGAUUUUUGCCUGCCUCGCCGAUUUUCGUGGAGCAAUAUCCGUGAAUACUGGUCAUACUCCUAGAGCAGUAUACGGGGAUCUAGACCAUUAGAUUGUUGGCAAUGAACGGUUAAUAUUCAUCCCAGUGUACCAUAGAAGAACUCUUUUUCUCAUUAGUUAACAGAAAGACAUAGUCGGCGGAUUGUACAUUACUAUGUGUAUGUAGCCGGCCGGCCGGCCCGUGCUAGCAUGCUCCUGGAGACCUGGACAUAUAUACAUCGGUACAUACACAAACAUUGAGUCACAGACAAAACGGAGAAAUAAACCUUGGCAAACAAGGUUGCCACCAGUGACCAAACGCAACACACUUCAUAUAUGAGCUGUUGUUUCAACUUGCGGUUUAGGCCUUGCCGGACUCCUCGCAGCCAGGUGGCUUGAAAGCGAUGAAGCUGAUGCACUGUACUUGCCUGGUGUUGUCGAAGCCGAUGAUGCGGACAUAGGCGCCAGGGUAUUCCUUCUUGACCUCCUCCAACUCCUUGAGCACCUGCGUGGCGUCAGUGCACCCGAACAUGGGAAGCUUCCACAUUGUCCAGUACCUCCCGUCCUAGUACCCUGGGGAGUUGCCGUGCUCACGGAAGACGAAACCGACCUUGCUGAACUCGAGGCAAGGAACCCAUUUGGAGCGGAUGAGAUACUCGAUCUGCUUCAGGAGGGACUCCACGGUGAGAGGUGGCAGGUAGGAAAGGGUCUCGAACUUCUUGAUGCCCUCAAUUGGCCACACCUGCAAUUAGAUUAAAAUUAGCACACAAAGUGUGAUUUGAGACACAUAUCGAUGGAGUAUUUCACUUCACACAUAUCGGUAUGAUGAUAUACAUACCUGCAUGCUCGUGAUCCUGCCACCGUUGGAGACGCUGCCGAGGCCAGCGCCGGCAGAGCGGCGGCUGACGGGGAGCCCGGCGGUGGACUUGAGGCCCCGGAAAGGAGCAACAGCGGUAGCCGCCGCCGACAUCACUGUCGGACCCAUAGCAUCCACCCUUGUAUCACUAGAGUAUAUCUACUUAGCUAAUAUGCUAAGUUUGGCACGGAGAGAGGAGGUCGAGUGGACUUCAUUCCUGGUCACAAGGGUUUAUAUAUACCAUAUAACAUACGAGCAAUUUGUGAUUAAUUUGUUGUCGUUCUAGGAGAUGUGGAAAGGGUGGAUGCCGUUCGUUGGUUGCCUUAUCCGUUCUAGAGAAGGGAUGGAUGACCGACGCUCGCUCAGCCGUCUCCUUCGUCCAUCGUUGCCAAUCUUUCUAGCUAUAAUUGGAAGUUCCAAAGGAACAUACGGUUUCAUGCCUACUUCCAUCGGCCUAUCAUGUACCAAUCCAAUAAAAGGACAUCGUUCAACCAUCAAUCCAUGUGUGUGUAGUAAGUGAUUGGCUACGAACCUUCAGCUGACUUGCUUUAUUGGAUAUUUCUGUAAAGCGAGUCCACGGUGUGUGGGUUUAAAAUCUCGUGGCGGCAACUGUUGACGGGUGCAAAUAUCAGUAGCCUUAAAACAAUAAACUUUACUCCGUCCCUUCCGAAAUGCAAGAAUGUCCUAAGUCAAACUUCUUAUGCUGCAGGACCAUAGUUUUUGAGGUGUUCUUCUCACGAGUCCACGAAGAACGGGAAUUUUUUGGUGUCGGGUAAGGGCGGGGGAAUAUAUAGAUGCUAGCAUCAGCAUGACGGGCUAACGGGUCAGGUAGGAUUUUGGACGACGUAGCACCUGACAUGUGGGGGCCACAUGUAAGAAAACCUGUCAAAAUGUCAUAACCCUCUGUUUUGGUCAACUUGAUACAAUCUGAUACAAAACGUGUGGUUUUCCUGACAAAUUAGCAAAUUUUGUGUCUCUGUGAGAAGCACGCCCCAAAAACUGUGGUUCCGUGAAAUUUAUUCACUAGUUACACUUUAUCUACAAACAUCUACGAUUCUAAAAUAGUUUGGUAUAUAUUUUCCGUAAUAUAAUUAUUUGAUAUUCUAAAUUCGGGGAUUUGUUCUUAUAAACUUGGUCGAAGUUUAAAAAGUUUGACUUCGGACAAAGUUACGACUUUUUACAUUUAGGAAUGAAGGGAAUACAUUUUAGUAAAGCAAUUGAGGAAUUGACAGAAUUAAAUAUCUUAAAUUAUACUGGUCCAUCGUGUACUCAUGGCAACAAAAUAAAUUUAUAGUCGAAAAGUUGGACCAUGAAAACUUAAAACGUGAUACAUUAAAAUUGUUGAAUCACUCUACAUCUUGUAAUUUUCUCUUGCAACCUUCUGGCGCGCUACUCAUUCCACAUUUGGUACUAUAUGUAUAAAUGUAUAUAUAUACCGCAUUAGGAGCCUCUAUUACUGUUUUAGUAUAAAUAGCAGUUUCCAUCGACUAUGCACUUCAUUAACUUUUUCUUCACGAGAUAACUUGCUUAUCGAUUUUCUUUAAUUAUCCAGAUGGCUUCUACUAGUUUGUUUCCUUGCUUACUGGGAUUUCCGCAGACUUUACGGUUAGGUAUUAUUGUCGUGUGGACAACACGGUGGCCGGAUGUUGAGAUGAUGAUGUCCUUUAUCUCCGUGUUGCUUCUGAGGACUGCGGAUCCGAGGCUAGUGGCGGUAUGGGAUGCCUCUCUACCUCUUGAUCAGGUCAAUCCGGCUCAGCAAGAGGCGGAUCGAUGGUGGCCGGUGUGACUAGAAGCGGGGAGGUAUAUAUGAAACGUUUCUUGCUUCCAGCAUCUCUUCUAGCGGUAUAUAUGUCGUCAGCUGGUUGAGGGAUUGAUGGCAAUCGAUCAUGGCUACGAUGACAUGUAUACGCGCCGGUAGGAACACAUAUCAGGCAAUGUCGAUGCACCUGCAUUGGGCCCUUGCUGAAGGUGGUGGUGCGUAUGGCAGUCUAAAGAUUUAAGACACAAAUUUAGACUUAAAACUUAAAUAAUCAAUUUGUGCCAGCGGGAAACACACAAACACGUACCGGUAAAUUAUCAUAAUCAGAAUUUGUCGACGAAUUUGAUAUUCUUUUACAAAAUAUACUUAUCUUAAUAUGUAUAACCGGAGUUUAUAUUACAUGCCCCUCUCCCAACGAUAGUUGUAGUACUCUUAUAAUAGUAGUACUCAUGAAUACAGUUAAUCCGGGUUGUUGGGAGAGAUCACAUGCAUAAAUACAACAUGAAACAAACGUGUGAAAAAGGUACAUAAAAUCGGUGUGACCCGUUCUUGUAUUAUAAGAAAUCAACUUGCUUAGGCCUUGCCGGACUCCUCACAACCCGGUGGCUUGAAGGCGAUGAAGCUGAUGCACUGCACUUGCCUGGUGUUGUCGAAGCCGAUGAUGCGGACAUAGGCGUCAGGGUACUCCUUCUUCACCUCCUCCAGCUCCUUUAGCACCUGCGUGGCGUCGGUGCACCCGAACAUGGGAAGCUUCCACAUUGUCCAGUACCUGCCGUCGUAGUACCCGGGAGAGUUGCCGUGCUCACGGAAGACGAAACCGACCUUGCUGAACUCGAGGCAAGGAACCCACUUGGAGCGGAUGAGAUACUCGAUCUGCUUCAAGAGGGACUCCACGGUGAGAGGCGGCAGGUAGGAAAGGGUUUCGAACUUCUUGAUGCCCUCAAUUGGCCACACCUACAAUUAGAUUAAUAAUUAGCACCGAAAGUAUAAUUUGAGACACAUAUCAGUAUUUCACUUCAACAUAUGUACAUGAUGACAUACAUACCUGCAUGCACCUGAUCCUUCCACCGUUGGAGACGCUGCCGAGACCAGCGCUGGCUGAGCGGCGGCCGAUGGGGAGCCCGGCGGUGGACUUGAGGCCCUGGAAAGGAGCAACGGCAGUAGCCGCUGACGACAUCACUGUGGGAGCCAUCGUACACGUACGUAGAUAGCUAACAAGAGGAGGCAGGCUUGCUUGAGUGCUCUCUAGCUACAGCGGCUUAUAUAACUGUAGGCUCCCCACCCAUCCAAUAUCAGCACAA
rnacentral:lncRNA from 1 species